rnacentral:rRNA from 1 species
UGGGGAUGACGUCAAGUCCUCAUGGCCUUUAUGCCCAGGGCUACACACGUGCUACAAUGGCCUGUACAAAGGGAAGCGACCCCGCGAGGUGGAGCAAAUCCCAAAAAGCAGGUCUCAGUUCGGAUUGGAGUCUGCAACUCGACUUCAUGAAGGUGGAAUCGCUAGUAAUCGUGGAUCAGCAUGCCACGGUGAAUACGUUCCCGGGCCUUGUACACACCGCCCGUCACACCACGAAAGCUGACUGUACCAGAAGUCGCUGGGCUAACC